rnacentral:tRNA from 1 species
GGGGAUGUGGCUCAAGCCGUAGCGCGCUCACCUGGCAUGCGAGCAGCCCUGAGUUCGAUCCUCAGCACCACA